rfam:Strongylocentrotus purpuratus Contig25612_fixed, whole genome shotgun sequence.
UAGCUCAGUUGGGAGAGCGUUAGACUGAAGAUCUAAAGGUCCCUGGUUCGAAACCACCCGG